rnacentral:rRNA from 1 species
GAUUCUGGCUCAGGACGAACGCUGGCGGCACGCUUAACACAUGCAAGUCGAACGAGAGAAGAGAAGCUUGCUUUUCUGAUCUAGUGGCGGACGGGUGAGUAACACGUGAGCAAUCUGCCUUUCAGAGGGGGAUACCGAUUGGAAACGAUCGUUAAUACCGCAUAACAUAAUUGAACCGCAUGAUUUGAUUAUCAAAGAUUUAUCGCUGAAAGAUGAGCUCGCGUCUGAUUAGCUAGUUGGUAAGGUAACGGCUUACCAAGGCGACGAUCAGUAGCCGGACUGAGAGGUUGAUCGGCCACAUUGGGACUGAGACACGGCCCAGACUCCUACGGGAGGCAGCAGUGGGGAAUAUUGCACAAUGGAGGAAACUCUGAUGCAGCGAUGCCGCGUGAGGGAAGAAGGUUUUAGGAUUGUAAACCUCUGUCUUCAGGGACGAAAAAUGACGGUACCUGAGGAGGAAGCUCCGGCUAACUACGUGCCAGCAGCCGCGGUAAUACGUAGGGAGCGAGCGUUGUCCGGAAUUACUGGGUGUAAAGGGAGCGUAGGCGGGAUCGCAAGUCAGAUGUGAAAACUAUGGGCUUAACCCAUAAACUGCAUUUGAAACUGUGGUUCUUGAGUGAAGUAGAGGUAAGCGGAAUUCCUAGUGUAGCGGUGAAAUGCGUAGAUAUUAGGAGGAACAUCAGUGGCGAAGGCGGCUUACUGGGCUUUAACUGACGCUGAGGCUCGAAAGCGUGGGGGGCAAACAGGAUUAGAUACCCUGGUAGUCCACGCCGUAAACGAUGAUUACUAGGUGUGGGGGGACUGACCCCUUCCGUGCCGCAGCAAACGCAAUAAGUAAUCCACCUGGGGAGUACGACCGCAAGGUUGAAACUCAAAGGAAUUGACGGGGGCCCGCACAAGCAGUGGAGUAUGUGGAUUAAUUCGAAGCAACGCGAAGAACCUUACCAGGUCUUGACAUCGUAUGCAUAGCUCAGAGAUGAGUGAAAUCUCUUCGGAGACAUAUAGACAGGUGGUGCAUGGUUGUCGUCAGCUCGUGUCGUGAGAUGUUGGGUUAAGUCCCGCAACGAGCGCAACCCUUACUGUUAGUUGCUACGCAAGAGCACUCUAGCAGGACUGCCGUUGACAAAACGGAGGAAGGUGGGGAUGACGUCAAAUCAUCAUGCCCCUUAUGACCUGGGCCUCACACGUACUACAAUGGCUGUCAACAGAGGGAAGCAAAGCCGCGAGGUGGAGCAAACCCCUAAAAGCAGUCUUAGUUCGGAUUGUAGGCUGCAACCCGCCUACAUGAAGUCGGAAUUGCUAGUAAUCGCAGAUCAGCAUGCUGCGGUGAAUACGUUCCCGGGCCUUGUACACACCGCCCGUCACGCCAUGGGAGUCGGUAACACCCGAAGCCUGUAGUCUAACCGCAAGGAGGACGCAGUCGAAGGUGGGAUUGAUGACUGGGGUGAAGUCGUAACAAGGUACCC